UGGCUCUCGCAUCGAUGAAGAACGCAGCGAAAUGCGAUAAGUAAUGUGAAUUGCAGAAUUCAGUGAAUCAUCGAAUCUUUGAACGCACCUUGCGCUCCUUGGUAUUCCGAGGAGCAUGCCUGUUUGAGUAUCAUGAAUCUCUCAAACCCCAGAGGCUUUCGGGUCUUGUGGCGGUUUGGAUCGUGGGGGACGUGCCGUGCUUUCGCGCUCGGCUCCCCUGAAACGCAUCAGUGGACGUCUUCUCCCAAUCACGAGCGAGAAGGGCCUUGGUUUGAUAAGUAUCGACGCCAUCGCCUUUGAACGCUCGGGAGCGACUAGGACAUCUCCGCUUCUAACCGUCUUCGGACAACGGACGAGGUGGGGCGACCCCCUCCGACUCGUUUGAUCUCAAAUCAGGUAGGACUACCCGCUGA
rnacentral:misc_RNA from 1 species